GACGAACGCUGGCGGCGUGCUUAACACAUGCAAGUCGAACGGAAAGGCCCUGCUCUUGUGCGGUGCUCGAGUGGCGCACGUGUGAGUAACACGUGAGUAAUCUCCCCUUGACUUUGGGAUAACUUUACGAAACUGCGGCUAAUACCCGAUAUGAGCUCCUGCUGCGUGGGGUGGGUUGGAAAGUUUCGGCGGUUGGGGAUGGACUCGCGGCUUAUCCGCUUGUUGGUGGCGUAGUGGCGUACCACGGCUUUGACGGGUAGCCGGCCUGAGAGGGUGACCGGGCACACUGCGCCUGAGAUACGGCCCAGCAUGGUAUGGCACGCAGCAGGCGGAAGAAUGGCCCAAGGAGAGGGAGGCCGAGGCACUCCCUCCGGGUGCGGGAGGCCAGCAUUCUGGGUACGAACAGCUGUCGGCUGUGCGGGACAGUGCGUGACGGUAAUGCAUUAGGAAGCAACGGCUAACUACGUG
rnacentral:rRNA from 1 species